UUAUUGCAGUAUCUAUUCCUAUUUCGCUUCAUUCGCAAGCUUCAUCUGUUACGAUCUUUAAUGGAACUAAUUUCUCAGAGUGGAAUGAACAAGUCCAGUUUCACCUAGGUGUUCUGGAUCUUGAUUUAGCACUCCGAUCUGAGAAACCGGCUGACAUUACUGAUUUGAGCAGCUCGGAAGAAAGGUCUUUUUAUAAGACUUGGGAAAGAUCGAACAGAUUGAGCAUUAUGUUUAUGCGGAUGAGUAUAGCGAAUAAUAUCAAGUCAACGCUUCCUGAAUGUGACAGAGCUCAAACACAAAGAU